UGGGGUGUCGUCUAAUGGUAGGACACCAGGUUUUGGUCCUGGCAGUCGGGGUUCGACUCCCUGCACCCCAG
rnacentral:tRNA from 1 species